rnacentral:piRNA from 1 species
UGGGUGACUGCAGAUAUUUACUAUCCUG